UCCAGGUUCGUCUAACGGCAGGACGGCGCGCUCUGGACGCGUCUACGGAGGUUCGAAUCCUUCACCUGGAGC
rnacentral:tRNA from 1 species